GCUGGGCAUGGUGGCCCAUGCCUGUAGUUCCAGGUACUUGGGAGGCUGAGGUGGGAGGAUCGCUUGAGCCCCGGAGUUCUGGGCUGUGGUACGCUAUGCCAAUCAGGUGUCCACACUAAGUUCAGCAUCAAUAUGAUGACCUCCCGGGAGCGGGGGACCACCAGAUUGCCUAAGGAGGGGUGAACCAGUCCAGGCUGGAAAUGGAGCAGGUCAAAAUUCCCGUGCUGAUCAGUAGUGGGAUCUCGCCUGUGAAUAGCCACUGCACUCCAGCCUGGGCAACAUAGCGAGACCCCGUCUCU
rnacentral:SRP_RNA from 1 species